UUGUAGGUGUCCCACGGGAUCACCAAUUUAUUGUGCACCUUCGGGAGCAUUAGACUGAUAUGUGUUUCUGCAGAACACUAGACUGAUAUGUACGUCCCUCGGGGCGUUAGACUGAGAUGUGUAUCCUACAGGAUCACAAGACUGCGACUGUACAGGGUGUCCCAAUAGAACGUUAACAAUUUAUUUUCCCCUGACGGGACCAGUAGAGGGUCUCUUACUGAGUAUUUAAAUACUCACCCUUCUUAUGUUUAAUUUUCAGGCAAAGGUAAUAAAGGCGGCAAACCGGCGAGGGGCAGGAAGGAAGCGUGAUCCAUAGGAAAU
rnacentral:lncRNA from 1 species